rnacentral:rRNA from 1 species
GACGAACGCUGGCGGCGUGCUUAACACAUGCAAGUCGAACGGAAAGGCGCUGCUUUUGUGGGGUGCUCGAGUGGCGAACGGGUGAGUAACACGUGAGUAACCUGCCCUUGACUUUGGGAUAACUUCAGGAAACUGGGGCUAAUACCGGAUAGGAGCUCCUGCUGCAUGGUGGGGGUUGGAAAGUUUCGGCGGUUGGGGAUGGACUCGCGGCUUAUCAGCUUGUUGGUGGGGUAGUGGCUUACCAAGGGUUUGACGGGUAGCCGGCCUGAGAGGUUGACCGGCCACAAUGGGACUGAGAGACGGACCAGACGCCUACGGGAGGCAGCAGUGGGGAGUAUUGCACAGUGGGCGGAAGCCUGAUGCAGCAACGCCGCGUGCGGGAUGACGGCCUUCGGGUGGUAAACAGCUGUCGCCUGUGACGAAGCGUGAGUGACGGUAAUGGGUAAAGAAGCACCGGCUAACUACGUG